AGCGCCAUUCGUCAGCAACGUUUUCAUUAAUCAAGAACGAAAGUUAGGGGAUCGAAGAUGAUCAGAUACCGUCGUAGUCUUAACCAUAAACUAUGCCGACUAGGGAUCGGGUGUUGUCCUUUUUUUGGCGCACUCGGCACCUUACGAGAAAUCAAAGUUUUUGGGUUCUGGGGGGAGUAUGGUCGCAAGGCUGAAACUUAAAGGAAUUGACGGAAGGGCACCACCAGGAGUGGAGCCUGCGGCUUAAUUUGACUCAACACGGGGAAACUCACCAGGUCCAGACACAAUAAGGAUUGACAGAUUGAGAGCUCUUUCUUGAUUUUGUGGGUGGUGGUGCAUGGCCGUUCUUAGUUGGUGGAGUGAUUUGUCUGCUUAAUUGCGAUAACGAACGAGACCUUAACCUACUAAAUAGUGCUGCUAGCUUUUGCUGGUAUAGUCACUUCUUAGAGGGACUACCGAUUUCAAGUCGGUGGAAGUUUGAGGCAAUAACAGGUCUGUGAUGCCCUUAGACGUUCUGGGCCGCACGCGCGCUACACUGACGGAGCCAGCGAGUAUUAACCUUGGCCGAGAGGUCUGGGAAAUCUUGUGAAACUCCGUCGUGCUGGGGAUAGAGCAUUGUAAUUAUUGCUCUUCACGAGAAUUCCUAG
rnacentral:rRNA from 1 species